AUGCAAGUCGAACGGUAACUUUUGGUGCUUGCACCGAAAGACGAGCGGCGAACGGGUGCGUAACGCGUAUGCAAUCUACCUUUUACUAGAGUAUAGCCCAGAGAAAUUUGGAUUAAUCCUCUAUAAUAUCAUUAAUUCGCAUGAAUUUAUGAUUAAAGCUUCGGCGGUAAAAGAUGAGCAUGCGUCCUAUUAGUUAGUAGGUGAGGUAACGGCUCACCUAGACUACGAUAGGUAGGGGUCCUGAGAGGGAGAUCCCCCACACUGGUACUGAGACACGGACCAGACUCCUACGGGAGGCAGCAGUGAGGAAUAUUGGACAAUGGACGAAAGUCUGAUCCAGCUAUGCCGCGUGCAGGAUGACAGCCCUACGGGUUGUAAACUGCUUUUAUACAGGAAGAAAACCUUCGACGUGUCGAAGCUUGACGGUACUGUAAGAAUAAGGAUCGGCUAACUCCGUGCCAGCAGCCGCGGUAAUACGGAGGAUCCAAGCGUUAUCCGGAAUCAUUGGGUUUAAAGGGUCCGCAGGCGGUUUUUUAAGUCAGAGGUGAAAUCCUGCAGCUCAACUGUAGAAUUGCCUUUGAUACUGAAAGACUUGAGUUAUUGUGAAGUGGUUAGAAUGUGUGGUGUAGCGGUGAAAUGCAUAGAUAUCACACAGAAUACCAAUUGCGAAGGCAGAUCACUAACAAUAUACUGACGCUCAGGGACGAAAGCGUGGGUAGCGAACAGGAUUAGAUACCCUGGUAGUCCACGCCGUAAACGAUGGACACUAGCUGUAUGUCUACUUCAGGUAGAUGUGUGGCUAAGCGAAAGUGAUAAGUAUCCCACCUGGGGAGUACGAUCGCAAGAUUGAAACUCAAAGGAAUUGACGGGGGCCCGCACAAGCGGUGGAGCAUGUGGUUUAAUUCGAUGAUACGCGAGGAAC
rnacentral:rRNA from 1 species